GACAGUAUUGUGUAGUGGUUAUCACGUCUGCCUCACACGCAGAAGGUCCCCAGUUCGAGCCUGGGUACUGUCA
rnacentral:tRNA from 1 species